rnacentral:rRNA from 1 species
UACGUAGGGUGCGAGCGUUAAUCGGAAUUACUGGGCGUAAAGCGUGCGCAGGCGGUUUGUUAAGCCAGAUGUGAAAUCCCCGGGCUUAACCUGGGAAUGGCAUUUGGGACUGCAAGGCUGGAGUGCGGCAGAGGAGACUGGAAUUCCUGGUGUAGCGGUGAAAUGCGCAGAUAUCAGGAGGAACACCGGUGGCGAAGGCGGGUCUCUGGGCCGGUACCGACGCUGAGGAGCGAAAGCGUGGGGAGCGAACAGG